CUGCAAAUAUGGACAAGUUAGAAACAAUUAGUUGAAAUGACUAAAAGUUAAAUGUGUUCUUCCUGACAGUAGAGAAAGAAACUAGAAAACCGACACCUACCCUGCAAGUUUCCUGGCAAGGUAAAGGAAAGGCUUCUCAAAGUUAUAGUUGCUCUUAGCUGAAAUCUCAUAGUACUGCAAAUUCUUCUUCCUGUGGAAGGUAACCUGCUUUGCCUUUACUUGUCUGUUCUUCACAUCAACCUUAUUACCACAGAGAACAAUCGGGAUGUUUUCACAAACCCUGAAAACAAUUGUACAGAAAAUCACCAAACAGUAAGAUAACCAUGUUGGUGAUGAAUACUGGGUGUUUAGCAACAAAAUGAUUAAAAAGGUUUCAAGGACUCUUGAUUUACAUACCGGCAAAGAUCACGGUGCCAGGUAGGGACAUUCUUGUAUGUCAGUCGGGCUGUAACAUCAAACAUUAUAAUAGCACACUGCCCAUGGAUACUGUAAAAUAAGGCGAAGCAUGUUAAAAGCAAUUCGAAAGGAAUCAAUGCAGACAUACAAAUAAAAGUGUGUAUCAAAGAAGACUAAAAGCCUUGGACAAACUGUUCUAAGGAAAAAAAAAUAUACUUCAUUACAUUCUUCAAUGCAAAAAUUCCCUCUUAAGGGAAUACUAACUCAUCAGCACAGGAAUAAAGACACACAAAGGACAUGCAAAACUACAGUACAGUGAACUACUGAAGUGAUCAACAACGCGACAUCAAGGCCAAGUUACAGUACACUUUUUUGAUGUCAAAAGAACUAAAAUCUCAUAUGUUCCAAAUCUAACAACAUGCAAACAGCAGAAGUAAACUGAAAUUGAUUUUUAGAGUUAGAAACAACGCAUUCGAGUGAUCAGCAUUAAGUGACUGAAGAAGAUAUCAUGAUUGUUAGGUAUAAAUAAAUGUUGCGUGACAAUGAAUUUGCUAACCAGAUUACCAAAAGAUCAGACAAAAAAAAUUGAGAGCACAACUAAACAAGAGCGAGGUAACGAUAUUCAACGAAAUGAAGAGGAGACUUACUAGUAUCCAUCUCUGAGGCCACCAAACUUCUCUUGUCCAGCAGUAUCCCAGCAGUAGAACCGAAUCUUUCCGCAGUUUGUGAAGAAAUCCAAUGGAUGCACUUCCACACCAAUUGUAGCUGUUUACAAUCACAAAUCAACGAUUAAACGCGUAUUAAUUAAGAAUAACAUGCAUAUAAUAACCCUAAAUUAGAAAAUGAAUCUUACGUUCAUAUUUCUUCUCGAACUCUCCAGUAAGAUGCCUCUUGACGAAAGUUGUCUUUCCUGCAAAUGUUGAUAAAAAUAAAGUUCAAAUCGUAAUCACAUGGUUGCAAACGAUUUCAAUUAUCUUAAAGAAUUUAGAGUGAAUCGAUGUGAUAAAAUGGUUUACCAGUGCCACCGUCACCGACGAUAACAAGCUUGAAACUAGGAUAAUCAACGGUUUGCUGAUUAGGCAAAGCCUGCAAUUCAACAAAUCAAGAUCAAUGCGAAUGGAAUAACAAAACGAAACUGCAGAAAUCGGAGAAUGAAUAGUACCAUUAUGAAGGGAAUUGAUAGAAGUGGUGAAGAAGAAGAAGCUAGCUAGGUUAGGUUGCGUUCUGUUCAGUGUGAUGGAAAGAAUGAAAGGAGAGUGGUUUUUAUAGGAAGGAAAAAAAAGGGUUUCAAAUUCAAGUUUUGAAAGUAGCUAGCUGGCACCAAUGCGUUCAACUGACGCAGCUCUCUCCACCCUCUGAUUCAUUCAGUCACAACGUCUUCAUAAGUAAGGACCGUUACUUUCGCUCCCGUUAAUUCAAAACUUACACACCACAAUAACUUCAAAUUAUUUUAACUUCAAAUUAAAUAUGUUUUUAUCCUUUUUUGUUUGUUUCUAUAUUUUAAUUAUUUGGGAUAAUAGUCAUUUUGCAUGUAAAAAUAACCACAAUAAUCUUUCAAUGUAUCGAAGUUUAAAAAUAGUCUUGUCCAUUUUCUUAAUCAAAAUAAUCUUUAACGCAAUGUUGACAUCAACUCUUUUUAUAUAUACAAUAAAAGUAUGAGAAUUGUCCAAAAAUUAUCCCAAAAUAUUCGUAUAAAUAUGAUUUUUCCAUUUUAUUAUCACCUCGUGCAAUUACUUUUCAAUUUGCUCCUAAUUAUAAACAAAAUUGUAAAGCAAUUUGUCAAGUAUGAAUGUUUAGAUUGCCAAUGUAUUUGGCAAGAUCAUUUAAAUUUUAAAGUGUCUACACUUUCAAAUUUAAACAAAUUUAAAGCGUGACUUUGUUAAACUCACCACUACUUCAAACAUAGACUUGAUAUUUUUUUUUUUUAGAAAUACAUACACUUACAUGUUUGCCACACACGAAGGUUGCGGUUUUAUUUUUUUAAGAGUUUGAAAUGUUGGGACUGUAAAUAGAGUAGUUUAUAAUUUGAGUGAUUUAGUUGUUAAGAAGUUGAUUUACUUAUAAGAUAGUGAGUUUAAUUUCUGUUAUUAAUGUGAUGACUUCUUUAGUAAGUGAUCUGUUUGUAGUAUCUUGCUCGUUGGAGCCUUCUCUGAUCCUAAUGAGUCCAAAUAACAUAAAUUUUUAUUAUAAAAAAAAAAAAAAAAAAAGUAGCUUAUAGUUUAUUCGGUACUAUUUGCGUUUUAUAAUAUUCUUGAUUAACAAAGCAAAAUAUGUAAUGAAAGUUAUACUCCCUCUCGUUCCAUUUAGUAGAGAUACUUAGGUAAACAAAAGUUGAUGUAUUUUAUCUAAAUUUUAAACUAGAUAAAUCAACUUUUGUUGACAUAAAUGUCUUUUAUAAAAAAGAUAGAAGAGAGUGCUUAUUAUAAAAAGUUUGGUAUUGGAACACAAAUUUUUCAGACACCAUGUGCAACAACAACUCAAAACACCCAUCACGGAAAUCAAGGCAUGUGGAAACUAUUAAAAGAGAGCAAAAGGUGUCCCCAAGCGUAUAUUAUACAAUGUCUUGUGUCCGCUUUUGUGUUCUCCAAUCAUUUCUUUUAUUAUAAUUACAAGUAAAUAUUUUGUGUAUGUACAUAUAUUUAUAAACUUUUAAAAAUGAUAAUUAAAGAAUGAUUGUUAAAGUGCCCAUGGAUGGGACACACAUAUAUAAAGAUUGUUUAUAAUGCAUACAACUCAAAGGGAUGUUGGGAUGUUUUUUGAUCCUUUUGACCCUGCUCUUGACCCAAUGUGGGGUCUCCCAUAAAUUUUCCAGACAAAUCAGAAAGGUUAUUGAAAUUAUUUUUCUCGCUCCUUCGUUUUGAAAGAGAAUGAGAAAGUUUGUUGUAAUUUAAGUCGAAGAAAAAUAAAUAAUCAAUAAUUGUUACAAAAAUUAAUUUAAAUUUGAAUUGUUCUACACGAUUGGUAAGGUCAUCAAGUUAUUUUUUGGUAGAAGGAUAAAUUUUAAAAAGAAAUAUUUUUUGCUUGUUACAUCUUCAUACAUUCUAGUUACACUCGUUUGACACAAGUUAUUUAAAUAAGGUUUCUCUUGGUUUUUUUUUUUGGGUGCAUUUGAACAGCGUGAACUAAAUCGACGCACAUACAAAAAAUAGUUUUAAUAAAGGCAACCCCUCAAAAAAAUAAAAAAAAUAAAGGCAAACUCAACUCAUCGUAAAUUCUAAAAUUUCAGAUGUUACGCACCUACAUGACAUGAGUUUAACUAACAUCAACAUGCAUACCUACACGUACGAAUAUUUGUUAAGAGUACAAGAACUCCAUCGUACAUAUUUACGUACCAACAAAUGAUUAAUUCAAUUCACAUAUUAUUUAUAAAAAAAGUUCAAUUUAUUUAUACAAGUUCACGGUAAUGAUUCUUCAGGAAAUUACAAAUUGUGAAAUUCAUUUCAAGUGACUGUAGAUGAACUCAGUGCCUAUAUGCAACUACCAAUAAAGAGGAUAUCAAUUCCAUAAAAGGGUAGCUGGAGAAGGAUUUAGAAAUUUCAGUAUGCUUUCUCUCAAUUCAUUCUUUAUGUUUGUCAAGGAAGUUGAAUGCUAAGAUUUGUAAUUAAAAUUGCUGUGUUGAAGAUUAAUGAGAGAUGAAAGGUUCUGAUUUUUUUUCUUUCUUCGGAAUAUUACUGCAACUGCAAGUUGUUUUCCAAACCUAAAACCUAUCAACUUCAAUACUUUGAAUUUUUUAAACGUCACAAACUGAAAGUUAUUAAACCUGAACGGCAAUACACAAUCACAUAACUACGUCUGUGAUUGGUUUCCUGUCUCAAAAAUCUGAACUUGAACAUGGACUUCUCUCUUCACAGUUCACACAAUAUCAUUAAAAGUCUAAACUUGAACAAGUAAACUUUUUCAAGUGAAAUGGGUGGCAUAGAGCAAAUACUAAACAAACAAAAUCAUUGCCUGCAGCAGAGUAUUGAUACGAUACGUCCACAUUAAGUGAGGGUUUACAUAAAAGUAAAACAUCCCAAACUCAUGAUGAUAAAAUUCAAAUGCCCAAAUCUGUAACCAAAAAUGCUAAAACUUCAACCUCAAGCACAAAAUAUUAUAGCAUACUACACAACAGCACCAACUCAAGACAGAGGACAGCAGUCGCAAGGGUCCUACUCAAAUGUAUCAUCAUCGUCAUCAGGAAGGGGUUGAUUAGCAGCUUGGAGAAGCUCAUUCUCUUGUCUGCAAAAGAACCAAUAAAUGAGAAAUUAAAAAUAAACAAUUACACUGCAAUUGAAUGAGAAAAGCAAUGUUUUAGCAUACUAUUUGAUAUUCCUAAAAAAACUAAUGGAUGUUAUGGUCUUUUAGCAUACUAGUAUUGCAUAUUCCUAAACGAGGCGGAUAAAAUGAAGAGAAAAUGAAAUAAUUUCUCAAUGUUUGAAUUUUAUUUUUGCAAAUAACCAUUCCCAUGCAAUCUCUUCCCAUCACCAACAAAAAUCUAACAACAAUAUGGUGGUAACUUGAACAGCAUAUCUGAACUUAAAAACAAAUGGAUUAGUGUUCAAUGGUUACAAACAUGGCCAAUGAUGUAUAGCUAAUGAUAUGCCCCCCAGAAAGUUAUUUUCAAUCUCUUUUCAUAAACUUCUUAAAAUAGCUUCAAGAAACAACUUACACAGAGCGCAUACACAGCAUUUAAACUACCAUAAUAACAGUUUGUAUGAUAGGAGUUUUUUAACAAACAUUUAAAAAGCUGUUUAUAACCCUCAUAUCCAUGAUAGUUGUGACACUUUGAUUUUAGGAGAUAAUUUUCAACUACAACCACUAUUUUGCAAUGCUACAAUCAACAAGUUUUAUCAUGCCAAUGAUGAAUGAUUGUAGGAUAAAGAAUAAAAGGAUUUGAAGAAAGAUAGCUUACACUUGUUGUGCAGCUAAAUCAAUUUGAACUUCUGGUGGAGCCAAUGCAGGAGAUUCUACAAAGUGCAAGUUAGGAUCCCUGCAAAUAUGGACAAGUUUGAAAUAAUUAGUUGAAAUGCACUAAAAGUUAAAUGUGUUCUUCCUGACAGUAGAGAAAGAAACUAGAAAACUGACACCUACCCUGCAAGUUUCCUGGCAAGGUAAAGGAAAGGCUUCUCAAAGUUAUAGUUGCUCUUAGCUGAAAUCUCAUAGUACUGCAAAUUCUUCUUCCUGUGGAAGGUAACCUGCUUUGCCUUCACUUGCCUGUUUUUCACAUCAACCUUGUUACCGCAAAGAACAAUUGGGAUGUUUUCACAGACCCUGAAAAUCAGUUUCAAAAAGGAAGUGUCCAUAAAGCAACAUAAGGAACGUGGUGCUGAAAUAAAGUGUUAAAAAAAGGUUUCAAGGACUGCAUUUACUAACCGACAAAGAUCACGGUGCCAGGUAGGAACAUUUUUGUAUGUUAGACGGGCAGUAACAUCAAACAUUAUAAUAGCACAUUGCCCGUGGAU
rnacentral:lncRNA from 1 species